GGGACACAUUUGAAUGAAAAACAUUUGCAAGAGUUUGCAUAGUCUGGACAACAGAAGGAAGAGCCGAGUUGACAGGAGGGAAGGGAUGGACGAAUCCUUUUCCCAUCCCUCUGUCUAUUUAUGGGAGUCACUUCCUUUCAGGAAAUGCUGAGCCCCUUCUCCCAGGACCCUGUUGGGAAUGACGCCUGCACGGGCUGACCCAGCCUUCCACAUCCUCCUGGCCUCAGCAAUUCUACCCUUGUGACCCAGUCAGUACUGGGAAUCCAGCCUGUAAAUGACAGUGCUUUUAGGAGGCCCCAGCCUAGUGAGGAAAUUCAAAGAAAAAAAGGGGAGGGGACACAUAAUGAAGUCAGAAAGGCCCCUGGCUUGGAGAAGCUACUAAAUAUGAACACAGAAAGGGGACGGAUCGGCGGGGGUGGGGGGGAGCUGGGGCUAGAAACGAUGACACUGUGGCCCAAGAGUUUUGUGGCUCACCUUAUUGGACACCCUGCUGGGUGAUGGCUAAGGCAGAAGCAGGACCCAGGGUUCGUGGCCCGUCCAGGGCUCACUCACCAGCUCCACACUCCUUUCCUUUCCCCAGAUGACUCCUGUUUCUAUGGAAAGAAGAACCUGGGUCUACUAGUUCCGUGUUCUUGAUGAAGGUGGUUCUCCUCUCUUCUUGGUCAGCCCACCUCUUCAGAAACCCAGAGAGAUUUCUGAGAUGGUGAAAUGGGCCAGAUGUAAAGGAUGACAGCGGCCACAAGAUGCCGGGGAGCUUUGCUGGGGGUUGGAUGACCACACACUUCAUUCCACAUCUGAACCACUCUCACCCGCAAGUCAGAGUAUUAAGCAGAGAACCCCCCUGCGCCCCCAGAGAGCUGGAGACGUUUUCUGGCAGAGAAGCCCAGAGCACCGGCAAGCUGCUUCGAGAAGGUCCUCUGUGUCUUCCCAGUCUCCACCCUGGGCGAGUCUGUGGCUGAGAAGCUGGCCUGCUCCAGCUGUAGGGGAGGCAAGUUCUAAACCUCAGGUGCCCCCGGCACCCCUGCCCAGUGAUCAGAUCAGUGCUCUGUGGCUUCUCCCCCAACUAACAUCUCCCCUGACCACGCAAGAACUAUUGGAACAAGUGACCCAGAGUGCUCGUAGUGGCUAAACUCAGAAGCAACCAAUGGCUCAAAAACAGUAUGCUUUUUAGGAAAACAAAACUACCUAAGGAAAUGCAUCUGAUACUGUGUUUGAACUGGUCUGACAAGCCCUCCUGAUAAGACGCACAGCCCAAGGAAGGCCUGGAUACCGUGGAAAAAAUGGUCACUGUCAGGACUUCCUGUCCUGAUCCCACUCCAGCUCGAUCCUACUCUCAUUUCCUUCUGAGGGGGAGCCAUGGGACCUCUUUGUUCCCCACUGUUGAGGGAAGCUAACCUCUUCCCUGAGCUUGCCAUGAAGAUGACUCACCCCAUCCUUCCUUCAGGCCAGGGAGAAGGAAAAGAUAGCAGUUUUUGGCAAUUCAGCCUGUUAGAAAAGGGGGUCUAGG